rnacentral:rRNA from 1 species
AGACAUAUGGGGCGAGCGUUACUCGGAAUUACUAGGCGUAAAGCGCGUGUAGGCGGAUGCCACAGUCUGUUGUGAAAUCUCCCGGCUCAACUGGGAGCGGCCAAUGGAAACUAGGCGUCUAGAGUGAGGUAGGGGGUAUCGGAAUUCCCAGUGUAGCGGUGAUAUGCGUAGAUAUCGGGAGGAACACCAGUGGCGAAGGCGGCUCUCUGGGCUCUUCCUGACGCUGAGGCGCGAAAGCGUGGGGAGCAAACCGGAUUAGAAACCCCGGUAGUCC